rnacentral:rRNA from 1 species
UACGAAGGGGGCGAGCGUUGUUCGGAAUUACUGGGCGUAAAGGGCGCGUAGGCGGCCCCUUUUGUCGCGUGUGAAAGCCCCGGGCUCAACCUGGGAGGUGCGCGCGAAACGGGGGGGCUUGAGUUCGGGAGAGGAGCGUGGAAUUCCCAGUGUAGAGGUAAAAUUCGUAGAUAUUGGGAAGAACACCGGUGGCGAAGGCGGCGCUCUGGACCGAGACUGACGCUGAGGCGCGAAAGCGUGGGGAGCAAACAGG